rnacentral:rRNA from 1 species
UACGUAGGGUCCGGGCGUUGUCCGGAAUUAUUGGGCGUAAAGAGCUCGUAGGCGGUGUGUCGCGUCGGCCGUGAAAACCUGCAGCUUAACUGUGGGCUUGCGGUCGAUACGGGCAUCACUGGAGUUCGGCAGGGGAGACUGGAAUUCCUGGUGUAGCGGUGGAAUGCGCAGAUAUCAGGAGGAACACCGAUGGCGAAGGCAGGUCUCUGGGCCACUACUGACGCUGAGAAGCGAAAGCAUGGGGAGCGAACAGG